UCUGCAUCAAAAUAAGGUUUGAUUACAUUUUAAGCAAAACAUAUAUAUUUUAUUUUCAUAAUAUUCAUUCAGUGAAUGUAGCCUACAUAAUCACUCGCUUGCGCGUUGUUGCAAAGAUUUAUCUGAUCUCGCCAGAAUAAUGUGAAACUGCUACGUUUUGUUUGCUAUGAACAAUAUUUUGAGUUAGUUUCUUCAUAAAAAUAAGGUUUGAUUACAUUUUUAGCGAGAAAUAUAUAUUCUAUUUUCAUAAUAUUAGCGUCAAAAACUGACGCGAAUUUUAUUGGUAUGAAAUCACGCUGAAGAAGUCUCCUUCAGAACACAUCGCGAUAUUUGGCAUCAGUUCGCGUGUGCUGGAUGUUGCUGAAAAGACAAAAAGGGCCUUUCGGAAAUGGAUGAAGGAGACAGAAAGCUGCAAAGGCAAAUAAUUGCAAUGAAGGAAAUCCUACGGUUAUGUAUGAACUCACAACAUCAUCAUCAAGUGCUGUGCUGGACACAUUGGGUAACAAGUGUCCUCCAACGUAUCCAAUCUGUGGCCACGUUCUCCACAUCUUCCCAUGGGACACCGACAUUCUUCAGGCCUUCGUUUCCAUGUCUUCCCCUGCAUUCUCCUGGUGGUGUCCACUUCAUCUCUGUCUUUGGGUGUUGUUGUUUGGUCAUGCUUAGGAUGUGUCCAGGGAGGUGCACCCUUCACUCUGUCACAGUUUUUAAAAGUCUUCACGUGGACUCCUCCUUAUGAUCUCCUUGAAACGUGCAGAACCAAUAUUGAAAAUAGUCAUUUAUCUUUUUCCAUAUUCUUGCCUUUAUCAAAGAAGCACCAGUGCUCAUCCGGAGUUUUGGUAAAAGACAUAUUCAUUGCCAUCCACUAGUUCUAGUAAUGCUGCGACUAUAGUCAAAUAUGUAUUUCUGCAUGUGUGUAUAGCAGGUGUUUGUCCGAACAAUUGAAGUUAGUGAGAGUGUUCAGGAAAACCCUCUGAGAACAAUCAAUAUUUAUUUAAUUCUGUUUGGUGCUGAUAUAGAGUAUUACAGAAAUGACACAUUGACAUUCUGGACAUUAUUCUGUGAGUUUGUUACCUCUACAUUUAGAUGGACUUGAAAAUGUCUUGCAUUUUGUUUCAUUAAACCUUUUAUUACAGUGUCACUAAAUGUCCACCUUAACUACAUCUAUGGUAUCAUUAUAUCAGUACCUGGAUAAUGUAAAUGUAACAUACCCAUGAAUGUAUUUUAUAGAAGCAUUUUAUUGCUGAAAAUAUUUAACAUUUAUAAAAUGCAUUAACUAUU